rnacentral:rRNA from 1 species
AACGCACCUUGCACUCUCUAGUAUUCUGGAGAGUAUGCCCGGUUGAGUGUUUUGAACAUCUCAAGCCCUCUGGUUUCUGUAACGGAUCCCUCUGGGCCUUGGAACUGAGCGUCUGUCGGCCGCCAAAGGUCGACUCGCUCGAAAUGCAUUAGCUGGAUCAUCUGUCCGACUGGUUGACGUGAUAAGUUAAUUUAAUCGUCGCCCGUCGGUCUUACAUACGGUGUCCGCUUCCAAUCGUCCUCUUCAGGACAAAUCAUCGAUCUUUACACCUCAACUCGGGUAGGACUACCCGCUGAACUUAA